rnacentral:rRNA from 1 species
UAGGGAAUCUUCCGCAAUGGACGCAAGUCUGACGGAGCAACGCCGCGUGAGUGAAGAAGGAUUUCGGUUCGUAAAACUCUGUUGUUAGAGAAGAACAGCGCAUAGAGUAACUGUUAUGCGUGUGACGGUAUCUAACCAGAAAGCCACGGCUAACUACGUGCCAGCAGCCGCGGUAAUACGUAGGUGGCAAGCGUUGUCCGGAUUUAUUGGGCGUAAAGCGAGCGCAGGCGGUCAAUUAAGUCUGAUGUGAAAGCCCCCGGCUCAACCGGGGAGGGUCAUUGGAAACUGGUUGACUUGAGUGCAGAAGAGGAGAGUGGAAUUCCAGUUGUAGCGGUGAAAUGCGUAGAUAUAUGGAGGAACACCAGUGGCGAAGGCGACUCUCUGGUCUGUAACUGACGCUGAGGCUCGAAAGCGUGGGUAGCAAACAGG